rnacentral:rRNA from 1 species
GACGAACGCUGGCGGCGUGCUUAACACAUGCAAGUCGAACGCUGAAGCUCAGCUUUUGUUGGGUGGAUGAGUGGCGAACGGGUGAGUAACACGUGAGUAACCUGCCCCCUUCUUUGGGAUAACGCCCGGAAACGGGUGCUAAUACUGGAUAUUCACUGGUCUUCGCAUGGGGGUUGGUGGAAAGGGUUUUUCUGGUGGGGGAUGGGCUCGCGGCCUAUCAGCUUGUUGGUGGGGUGAUGGCCUACCAAGGCUUUGACGGGUAGCCGGCCUGAGAGGGUGACCGGUCACAUUGGGACUGAGAUACGGCCCAGACUCCUACGGGAGGCAGCAGUGGGGAAUAUUGCACAAUGGGCGAAAGCGUGAUGCAGCGACGCCGAGUGAGGGAUGGAGGCCUUCGGGUUGUGAAACUCUUUCGCUCAUGGUCAAGCCGCAACAAUGGUUGUGGUGAGGGUAGUGGGUAAAGAAGCGCCGGCUAACUACGUG